UGGUACCAGUGACUAAGGUAUCGGCUAUAGUAUGCAGUGUAGAAAAUGUUCAGAAGAUAAUAAUAUCUUGCUUUUCUGUAAUGAUUUUUCUGUUUUUGUUGUAGAAGCUGAGGAAUGAUUUUUUUUUCUCUCCAGGGGUUUGUUGUAGAUGGAUGCCGUGGCACCGGCUGACUGGGACCUUGGGAAGAUGGCACAAGGAGGAGCUGUGGUGACAAAUCAAUCAUUGUAUUGUCAAACUUGAGACCAUGUUACAGUAACUUGCAAGUACAACAUAAUCAUUCCAUUCCUCAUCAAUUCAGUGAGGUAGAAGAGAAGCCUUGGCAGGUUCAACCACAAAGGAGUCAAGAACAGCACAAUGCUACAGAGGAACAGCUUACAGUAUAAUAUGAAGGCCUAAUGGGCAAGUUGACUGAAGUUUGCACACAAAGAGCUAAGAAACAUUGGGCUCUUCAUGAAGGCAGGAACAAAACAAUUUUGUUAUUGCGCUGGGCUAGACUUGGGUUUGUUUUAGAUGGAUGUUGUGGCACCUUCUCAGAAAUGCACCUUGAGAAGAUGGCGCAAGGAGGAGCUGUGAGGACAAGUCAAUCACUGUAUUGAGACUGGAGACCAAGUUACAAUAAGUUGCAGGUUCAACGUAAUCAUUCCAUUUCUCAUCAUUCAGCGAGGUAGAAGAACAGCCUUGGCAGAUUGAACUACAAAGGAAUCAAGAACAGCACGGUGCUACAGAGGAACAGCUUACAGUACAAUAUGAAGGCCUAAUGGGCAAGUUGACUGAAGUUUACACACAAAGAGCUAAGAAACAUUGGGCUCUUCAUAAAGGCAGGAACAAAACAAUUUUGUUAUCGUGCUGUGCUCAAGGGGAGGAAGAAGAGAAUAAUUAACAUUUACUAUAUAUAUGCGUGAAUAUAUGGCCAAAGCGUAUGAUCGAUUGGAAUGGGUAUAUCUCGGGGAGAUCAUUUUAAAGCUCAGUUUUGAAGAAGGUUGGGCGCAAACAGUCAUGAAAUGUGUGGAAGCAGUCUCCUCCUCGCCUCCUCGGUGCAAAUUAAUGUCCAAUUUUCUUAAUUUAUCAAGCCAACAAGAGGAAUACACCAAGGAGAUACAAUUUCUCCCUUUUUCCUUCUGUCUGCGGAAGGACUGAUCAGUUUCUUGAAGUAGAAAGGGCCUAGCUACUUAGCUAAGGUUAUCAUGGUUCGAUUCCAUGCUUCUUGGCCGUCACACCUACUGUACGCUGAUGAUUGCCUGGUCUUUUAUCAAGCCUCUGCCACAGGAGCCGCAAGGCUGCAGGAGAUGCUUGAGAUAUGCAGCAAAUGGUCUGGCCAGCAUGUGAAGAUAUUUAAUAAGCUAUAGUUUUUAAGUGCAAAUUGUAGGCUGAAGUACAUAGAGAAGCGGACAUCGGGCUCAAGCUCAUGUUGAGAAGCAUUUCUGAAGAUCAAACACUUACUCUUUGUUGAUUCGCUGAAUUUAGGUGGAUGGGUUUCAUUGUCAGAAAUGAACAAGGUGGAGCUGGAGCUGGAUCCAUCAUUUUUCUUUCUUUCGAGAAUGACGAUCCAUCAAAUUUCAAACCUGAAGCUGCCAGACAGAGUUGGCUCCAGGAGAUGUCGAGUCGGUCUGUCAGUGGCCUACGUUGGAGUUAAAUGUAUAUAACCCCCUGAACUCCCAGAUUUGGAGUACAUCACCCCCUGGACUCAAUUUUGGCUCACUUAAUCCCCUAAAUCUGCACAAACCGGGCAAAGCACCCCCUGACGACUCUCCUGGUGGUUUGGGACGGCUGUUUUGCGGACGUGGAAAGGGGCCGGUGCCAUGUAGGCUUGGACCUGGUGGACUCGGUGUAGUUGCGACCAGACCAUCUCGAUUCCAUCGAGUGCCCACCUUUUUUCCUUCCUCUCUCCCUCUCCCUCUCUACAGGCGACGCCGCCGGCGAUUUGAGCGACCACGACGGCGAUGGUGAGGAGCACCGGCAUGCCCUGAAGGAUCUCACCGACGGCGGCCAUCAGGUGUAAGGCAUGGAUCCAUUGGAUUAUCUCUCUGUCAGAUUUCCUUCAGGUGUAAGGCAUGCAAAAUCAGUGCAGAUGAUGGCAAGUCAUGUCACUGAUGCUGGUGUACUGGAUAUCUAUGCUACUGUGCCUAGAGAUGUUAGUUCAGAAGCAAGUGGUUGGAAGGAACAACUAUCAGCAAAACAAGCAAGUUUAGAGACUGAAACACUGCACAUUCAGGCAAGACAAACAGAGCAAACAGAGAAUAUUCAGAGAGAAGAAACAUGGCAUGUUCAGAGAGAGGAAACAGAGGAAAUUCAGCAGUGUGGCAAGGUGUCAAAACUACCAGUUUUCAGGCCUUAAAAAUCAUUUGUGGCUACUGCAGAUAGUGAUAGUGACAGUGAUUAUGAUGUUCCUCCAACAGAGAGCAACAGUUCCGCAGAUGAUGAUGAGGUGAUUGAGUACAGAAAAUAUGCUCAAGAAUUCAAGGAGAACAAAAGAAAGAAGAUGCUUGGGGAAGAAAAUGGAAAGACUUGCAAUGUGCUAAACAGUUUUAUUGUCCCAGAAACAUGUAAGGAACGGAGGAAGUAGAUGAAAGUGAUGGAGAUGAAACACCAUAUUUUGAGAGUGAUGAUGAUAUGUCCUAUGACGAGGGUAGUGAUGGAGAAGUCAGUGUUGUCCGGAGCCUCUACGUUGUGAAGCCCUGGCACUACUUGAAGCUGUGCAAAUCACUUCAGCGAUGGGAGCUCGCAAUGGAUGCAUUUCUCUGUUUUUAAAAUUUGUAAUGGAAUGAAAGAGAGACGCAAUUUACACUUGUGUAACUGUUCCAGAAGCACAAUUUACUACAUGAUUUGUACUAA